rnacentral:rRNA from 1 species
UACAGAGGUGGCGAGCGUUAUUCGGAUUUACUGGGCGUAAAGGGUGCGUAGGCGGAUAGUUAUGUCAGAUGUGAAAGCUCACGGCUCAACCGUGGAAAUGCAUCUGAAACUGAUUAUCUAGAGUAUCGGAGAGGUAAGUGGAAUUCUUAGUGUAGCGGUGAAAUGCGUAGAUAUUAAGAGGAACACCGGUGGCGAAGGCGACUUACUGGACGAAUACUGACGCUGAGGCACGAAGGCUAGGGGAGCGAAGAGG